CAGGAAAGGUCGGAGAGUCAAUAUAAAGGCUAAGGAAUAAAUUAAGUAAAGAAGCAAGAAGAAAAAAAAAGGGUGAGUUAACCUACUUCGAGGAAAGAUCCCAGAGAGUCCCAGACCUGCAGCUCGGGAUCAGCAAGGACGAUCCUCUCGACAACCUCGGGCAGAAUGCACCCUUCGACUAGCCUCUUUAUCAAAUCCUUGUUGUUGAAAGGAUUUUCCCCCAGGUCUUCCUCGAAGCCGC
rnacentral:lncRNA from 1 species